AACGAACGCUGGCGGCAGGCUUAACACAUGCAAGUCGAACGAGAUCUUCGGAUCUAGUGGCAGACGGGUGAGGAACACGUGGGAACAUCCCUUUCAGUUCGGAAUAACGUUGGGAAACUAACGCUAAUACCGGAUACGUCCUUCGGGAGAAAGAUUUAUCGCUGAAAGAUUGGCCCGCGUCUGAUUAGCUAGUUGGUGAGGUAACGGCUCACCAAGGCUACGAUCAGUAGCUGAUCUGAGAGGAUGAUCAGCCACAUUGGGACUGAGACACGGCCCAAACUCCUACGGGAGGCAGCAGUGGGGAAUAUGGGACAAUGGGCGCAAGCCUGAUCCAGCCAUGCCGCGUGAGUGAUGACGGCCUUCGGGUUGUAAAGCUCUUUUGUCCGGGAAGAUAAUGACUGUACCGGAAGAAUAAGCCCCGGCAAACUUCGUGCCAGCCGCCGCCGUAAUAC
rnacentral:rRNA from 1 species